UAGAGUUCCAGCUCCGCGCUUCCGCCCGCUUCCUUCCCACCGGCGCCGCCGGCUACGUGGCGACGGCCGUCCAGUAGCUUGUCAUGCAGGCGCUGGCGGGCGUGCCGAUGAUCCGCGCCCACUCCCACCCGCUGCGACCCUCCGCCGCACGCCGCAGCUCCGCCAACUGCACGCCACAAAAAACAAAGCUCCGGGGAGGAAAAAGAAGGGCGAGGGAAUCUUGAAUGUUUCUAUUGGACAAGUUUUGUGUAAUCUGAUGUUUUCUAUUCAAUUGGAUGGAAUAAAGCUAGUAGUACGCCUGUGCUGAAA